CCUACGGGAGGCAGCAGUGAGGAAUAUUGGUCAAUGGACGCAAGCCUGAACCAGCCAUGCCGCGUGCAGGAAGACGGCCCUAUGAGUUGUAAACUGCUUUUGUACGAGGGUAAACGCAGAUACGUGUACCUGUCUGAAAGUACCGUACGAAUAAGGAUCGGCUAACUCCGUGCCAGCAGCCGCGGUAAUACGGAGGAUUCAAGCGUUAUCCGGAUUUAUUGGGUUUAAAGGGUGCGUAGGCGGUCGGUUAAGUUAGAGGUGAAAUUCCGGGGCUCAACUUCGGAAUUGCCUCUGAUACUGGUAGGCUUGAGAGUAGUUGCGGUAGGCGGAAUGUGUGGUGUAGCGGUGAAAUGCUUAGAGAUCACGCAGAACACCGAUUGCGAAGGCAGCUUACCAGGCUACUACUGACGUUGAGGCACGAAAGCGUGGGGAGCAAACAGGAUUAGAUACCCGGGUAGUC
rnacentral:rRNA from 1 species